rnacentral:rRNA from 1 species
UACAGAGGGUGCAAGCGUUGUUCGGAAUUAUUGGGCGUAAAGCGCGUGUAGGCGGCCCUUUAAGUUGGGUGUGAAAGCCCUCGGCUUAACCGAGGAAGUGCGCCCAAAACUGGAGAGCUUGAGUACCGGAGAGGAUGGUGGAAUUCCCGGUGUAGAGGUGAAAUUCGUAGAUAUCGGGAGGAACACCAGUGGCGAAGGCGACCAUCUGGACGGAUACUGACGCUGAGACGCGAAAGCGUGGGGAGCAAACAGG